rnacentral:ncRNA from 1 species
AGAUAAAAAUUUAUGAUUUUUAGAAUUUAUUUUUAAUUUAUUUUACAUACAAAUUUUAGUAUUAAUUUUUAAUUAUUUUAAUAAUUUUUAAUUAUUUUAAGUAGUAAAUAAAAUUAAAAAUUUAAGAAAUUAAGAUUUAGUAAUAUUAAAAUUAUUAACUAAUUUUGUGCCAGCAGUUGCGGUUAUACAUAAAAUAAAAUAAAUUUUUUCAGUAUAUAAUUAUUAAUAUUUAAAUUAUUAAAUUAAAUAUUAAAUUAUUAAGUGAAAUUUUAAUUUAAUUGAAAUUUAUUUUAAUUUUAUGAUUUAAUAAAUUUUAUUUAUAAACUAGGAUUAGAUACCCUAUUAUUAAAAAUUUAAAUUUAUAAUACUAAAAUAUUAAAUAAUUUUUAUUGAAACUUAAGUAAUUUGGCGGUAUUUUAGUUCAUUUAGAGGAAUCUGUUUAUUAAUUGAUAAUCCACGAAUAAAUUUACUUAAUUUAAUAUUUUGUAUAUCGUUGUUAAAAAAAUAUUUAUAAAUAAUAAUAAUAUUUUAAAAUUUAAAUUUUAAAAUUAAUUCAGAUCAAGAUGCAGAUAAUAAUUAAGAAUAUAAUGGAUUACAAUAAAUUUAUUUAAAUGGAUAUUAUUUUGUAAUAAUUAAUUAAAAGUGGAUUUAAAUGUAAUUUUAUUUAUUUUAAUAAAGUGAUUAAAAAUUAAAAUAUGUACAUAUUGCCCGUCACUUUCAUUUAAAAAUUGGAAUAAGUCGUAACAAAGUAGAGGUACUGGAAAGUGUUUCUAGAAAGAA